rnacentral:rRNA from 1 species
GACGAACGCUGGCGGCGUGCCUAAUACAUGCAAGUUGAGCGCUGAAGGUUGGUACUUGUACCAACUGGAUGAGCAGCGAACGGGUGAGUAACGCGUGGGGAAUCUGCCUUUGAGCGGGGGACAACAUUUGGAAACGAAUGCUAAUACCGCAUAAAAACUUUAAACACAUGUUUUAAGUUUGAAAGAUGCAAUUGCAUCACUCAAAGAUGAUCCCGCGUUGUAUUAGCUAGUUGGUGAGGUAAAGGCUCACCAAGGCGAUGAUACAUAGCCGACCUGCGAGGGUGAUCGGCCACAUUGGGAAUGAGACACGGCCCAAACUCCUACGGGAGGGAGCAGUAGGGAAACUUCGGCAAUGGACGGAAGUCUGACCGAGCAACGCCGCGUGAGUGAAGAAGGUUUUCGGAUCGUAAAACUCGGUUGGUAGAGAAGAACGGUGGUGAGAGUGGAAAGCUCAUCAAGUGACGGUAACUACACAGAAAGGGACGGCUAACUACGUG